UAGCUGGUUAUUCAAAAAAAGGAUAUAAGUCCAACUUAAAAUUUCUUUAUAACCCUAAAUAUAUUUAUAAAUUUUAAAUUAAUUCAAAUAAGGUACAGCCUAUUUGAAAUAGGAUACAACCUACAACAGAGGGUAAUGUUAUAAAAAUAUGACCAAGUUGACCUAAAAGCAGCCACCUUUUAAAAAGCGUUAAAGCUUCAUCAUACUACACCACCAAUACCAACCCCAAACCAAAACCCCUCAUUAAUAUUGAAUGACUCCAUAACUGUAUGGAAAACUCUAUGUCUGAAUUAGUAACAAGAACAACUUCUCCAAUAAACGUAAAUGUAAGCCAGAAUGAACCAAUCACCGGCACUUAUCGCAAAUAAACCUACAGUAAUAACUAAACAAGAAAACUUUACUUUUUAAAACGUUAACCUUACACUAGAACUUUCCUGGAAAGAUUAAAAAAAGAGGAAGGAACUCGGCAAACAUUAACCACGCCUGUUUAC
rnacentral:rRNA from 1 species